GGCGUCGCGAGGCAGGCCGUGCCCUGGCGCUGCUGGUGUGCCUGGUGCUUGCGCAGAGGUCGCAGGCGCUGCCCAUCCUCGACCGGUUUGUGCAGAACGUCUUCGAGCCCGACCGCCUGAACCGAUGGUUCACACUCUGGGAGAAGGUCAUCCACCUGGCCCGCUUCCACGUCCACAAUAUACCCAGAAUCAUCCUGAUGCCUUUCUCUAACAUCCACUCGGUGCACGGCCGGGCCAAGGAUAUUCGCCGGGGACUCAGCGACUUGCACAUGAGGGGGCUGCUUGGCCGAGUCCAGGGGCUCACGGGCUUCGCUGGUGACGGAGGGGGCACCAGUCGGAACAACUACGCGACCGAGUCUCCGACCUCUACCAAGAAAGCCGCGCAGAGCCUUUCACCACAACCGACGGUAGUGCGGGCCAAGCAGUAGUUCCGAGACCGGCAAACAACGGGCUCCACAUUCAACGCAACGGCAUUCUGCGACACCGGAGACACCGAAGGUUGACGAUAUUUUUGCAUGACUGCACCGGCGUCGGUUCCCAUCCCGCGUCAGUCACUUGAGGAGAGUCGUACCUCCACUUGGGCAUUCGUCAGUCAGCGGUGAGCGACGCGCCAUAAGACUCACCGCGUUAACCAUCAGAAUGGUUCACCUAUUUUCAGGAAAAUGGUUUUCUGCGAUGUUCUUUCCUCCGCGUAAAGUUCAUUCCCAACUGUCAAUCUGGAACUUACAUAUUGUCAAAUGAUAGAUUCGUAUAGGCUUCUUUCUGCCUUCUUUCUGCCUCACAGACAUCUACUUAUUAAAAAGUGCAACUGUGAUGACUGAAGUGCACUUCCCACUCAGAGUAUGAAGUUUGAUACGCACUUUACCCAAUGCUUUCUGCACAUUUAAACACUCAAUUUCGAUUCCUAUUUCAGAGCUCAUAGAAGUUAUCAGCGACGAAAAUUAUUCCGCCCAACAUGCCUUUAUUUUGUCAACUUUGCUCGGCCUACAUGUACGCAUUUAUCGUACCUUUUUCCUGUAUUAUCUUUCUCCUUUGUGUCCGUAAACCAUGGAGUCCACGCCGCACAGUCGACAAUUUUCAUCACUUCAAAAUGUUCGUUGCUAUCUCGUGCGUCAGUAUUUCGCUGUGUGUUUGUGUGCGCUCGUCAGUCAGUAACAUAUUUCCGUGUAUCGCCUUUUUUGAAUAAAAUGGCUAAGU
rnacentral:lncRNA from 1 species